AAUUAUCACUAGGGGAGCCUGCAAGAGGCUGAGAUCAAGCAUUUGAGACCCUUUGAACCUGAUCUAGUUCAUACUAGCGUAGGGAAGUGUGCCGAACGGUUA
rnacentral:ncRNA from 2 species